UGGCUCUCGCAUCGAUGAAGAACGCAGCGAAAUGCGAUAAGUAAUGUGAAUUGCAGAAUUCAGUGAAUCAUCGAAUCUUUGAACGCACCUUGCACCCUUUGGCAUUCCGAAGGGUACACCCAUUUGAGUGUCAUUGUAAUCUCACUUCAACUUUGUUGUUGAUUGUGGACUUGGACUCUGUCGUACCAUAACGACUGGUCUUAAAUUCCUGAGUGCACACUGCUGUUGUAGCGUCUUCAGUGUGAUAAGCAUCUUCACUGAACCAAGUCUUUUGUAGACACGCAAGCACAGCAGGCUCUGUGCUGGCCAACUGUCUUUGUACAAUAUUUGACAUCUGACCUCAAAUUGGGUGGGACUACCCGCUGA
rnacentral:misc_RNA from 1 species